rnacentral:lncRNA from 1 species
CACUGCGCCCGGCCACCAUUCACUGGCUUUUGAACUUGUGCUAGUUAUUUAACCCUCCUAAGCCUCAGUUUCCUUUUCUAUAAUAGGGGAUAAUAAAGGCACUUAGCUUACAGGCUUGUUGGGAGGCAAGGAUGGAAACGUACUUAGUCUGGUGCCUGGCACACAAAUAAGAACUCAGUGGCCAGGCGCGUUGGCUCACACCUGUAAUCCCACCAUUUUGGGAGGCCAAGGAGGGUGGAUCACCUGAGGUCAGGAGUUCAAGACCAGCAUGGCCAACAUGGUGAAACCCCAUCUCUACUAAAAAUACAAAAAAAAAAAAAUUAAAAAAUAGUGGGGCGUGGUGGCAGGAGCCCGUAAUCCCAACUACGUGGGAGGCUGAGGCAGAAUUACUUGAACCUGGGAGGUGGAGGUUACAGUGAGCUGAGAUUGUGCCAUUGCACUCCAGCCCGGGCAACAGGAGCAAAACUCCACCUCAAAAAAAAAAAAAAAAAAAAAAGAACUCAGCAAGGCUGCUAUUGUCCCCUAUACAUCAUGGCUACUGUUCCCGUCCUUGCACCACCCCUGCCAGGACCACCUGAGCACCCAGAGCUCACCUGAAGCGUAGCCGAUCAUGAAGAGCAAGUAGACGAGCAGGAAUCGGAAAAGGUCCUUGAAGAGAAUCUAAAGACCCCAGCGGGAUUAUGGAGGCAAAGAGGAGACACAUGGUUUCUCACUUUCCCCAUUCCUCCAUCUCCACCCUGGUCCCACCCCAGUGUCCAGACCAUGCCUCCUGCCCCCACGGUACCCAGCAUCCUCAGGUCUGCAGGUGCAUAAGUGUGCAUGUGGUGUGUGUGUGACUCCCUCCAGGAACACACGAGUCCAGAGGGUCCUCCCAGCCCGUACCUUCUGGAUCAUGAUGCUAUAGGUCCCCGUCAGCUUCAGCCCACGGGUGAAGUAAAGGGCAUUCAUCCAGCCCAGGACCAGGGCAAAGACCAUCACGGCCAGGUAGGCCUCGAUCCCUGCCAGGUAGAGGGCUGCUGAGACGAUCACCAGGACAGAGUAGAUGAAGCUGCAGUGCAGCAGAGACCACAAGAGAGGCCAGAGGGGAGAGGGGACAAUGAGGCUCUGGAGGGGAAGACACGCCUCCAAGCCCUCCAGGGUAUCAGGACUUCCCAAUGCCUUCUAGACCCCCAGAAAAGAAACAAAGUGGAUUAGCAGGGUUCCCCAGCAUUCUGUUAACAAGAACAUUCAAUUAGCUGGCAAUUAAUCCUGAGGUCCCACAGGAUCCUGAAGUGAUGCCCCUUGGAAUUGCUAAAGAAAGAUUUAGUGGUGUUCAGUGGAGAUUUUGUGGCUAAGUGAAUUUCAUCAUUCUCCAACUCUAAGGGAAAUGUGAAAGAGGUAACACACACUCAGUAACUCUCUCAUUCUCUGUCCCAGGCAGACAUCAUUAAUCAAUCCCAACUCUUUCCCACUAAACACAGACACAGGUGCAAAAUUCUUAACAUGGCACUUCAGGCAGACAUUAGCAAUCAUUCACCAGCAUAAGAGGUUAAAAUUAUUUCUAUCCAUGUUGUAUAUGAUAACUCCCUAGCAAUCAGAAUUUUUCUUGAACCAGAAGACCCUAUUGUUUGUGGCUUUGUCCUGACUUUGGGUUAGAGCUGCCCAGGUUGGGUGCAUUCAUUUCUAACAGAAUCACCUCUCUCCUGAAUCUGGACGACCUAGCAGCCCAAACCCACCUUCCUCACCCAGAAGCUGCCGGCCCAGGGACCUCUACUCACUAGAGCAGCUGGAAGGAGCCAUCAAUGAAGAGAGAAUUCACUCCAGGGCAUUUCUUCAUGAACAAGUCUUUGAUCUGGAAGACAGGAGGGGGGGACCCAGAAGGAUGAGGUUGUGCCCCAGUCCUGCAUGGCUCAGCCCAGUGCCUGCCCCAGCCCCUGCCCGGUCCCCGGGCACUCACUGUGCCCUCCAGCGGCUGGUAGUAGGCGGUGAGAGUGAAGAUGACCAUGGCACACAGAACCCCAUGGGAUAUCCAUGAUCCUUAUCCCCAGGUUACAAAUGAAGAAGCUGAGACCCAGAGAGGUGGAGCCACUUGUCCUGAGACACACAGCAUAUAAAGAAUGGAGGCUGGGAAAAACGAAGGGUGUUCCAGAAGCCACUUAACCAGUCAGCUGGAGCCAGACAGAACCUGGAUGAGCCUUCAACAUCUUAAUUGUAAUGAAUAUCUUCUUCAUGCCGUUAAAAUAGCAAUGAAUCCAUCUUAAUGACAUGUGAAUUAUAAUACUGACGAUCACAUGCGGUCCUUCCUGUUACCACUCCUCCUUCCCUGGCUUACACACAGGGAAGCGGAGGCACAGAGAGGGGUGGGAAUUGCCCAAGGUCAGGCAAUGUUAGGAUUUUGGGGUUUUUGUUUUGAGACAGAGUCUCUCUCUGUCACCCAGGCUGGAGUGCAGUGGCGCGAUCUCAGCACACUGCAACCCUCUCCUCCUAGGUUCAAGCAAUUCUCCUGCCUCAGCCUCCUGAGUAGCUGGGAUUACAGGUGCCCACUAUCAC